UUGGAAGGUGAUGUUACGUGGAGGUGAGCGAGGGUUUUCGGGAACCAUUUUCGAGGUCAAGAGCGUGAUGUGGAGUUGGGAAUGAUGUGCGGGCGUUACUGGUUUGGAUCAGUUCUAUCCAUACGUGGAAUGUUCGGAGAGAUUGAGGUCUCCUCUCCUACUCACUUUCUAUAUACACUACCAGUCGUCUUCAAGCCUCACCCUGUCCUCUACCUCUUCCCCCACCAGCCCACCCCGCCCUGAUCGUCAAAAGCAAAAACUGGAGACAGAAUAGAGAAUCAUUUUUAUUUAUUUUUAUUUUUUGUGGUUUCAAGCAAUUUAGGAUUUCUAGGAUAGAAUAAUAAUGUAAUAUCUUUUAUCAUGUCCCAAUCUAUGCAAGGCCACAUGUAUUAUUCAUUUCACAGUAUGAAAAUAUAUCACUUUUAAAAAUCCAUGCUAUCACAGUUGACAGAGGUUAAAAGGUGAGGAAAAUCAUUGAAGAUAGCCACUCCUGUGACGGAGGCAACCGCCACUCCUUUACGGAGGCGAUUCUUACUAGAGACAAUCGCCACUCCUGUUACGGAGGCAAGUCUUGGAACAUCUAAAAUCAUUGAAGAUUUUAUAUAUAUUUUUUGUAUUGUAUUUUGAUGAACAGAAUAUUCAUUCGAUGGUAAAAAUUCACCCACUGCCAGCCAUCUUCCUUGUUGCGAGGCUGCUGUCCAUUGAUAUUUCUCCACAGCGUCAUCGAUUCUUCGCUUGCUGGCAGACCCAUUGUCAGUGAUGAUCUUAGUUUAAAUGGGCUGGACCAAGGGAUCCUAAUGGGCCGUGGGCUGAAGCUUUGUGGUGAAAAGGGGGCAAUGGCCAUGUGAAGAACGUGGGGGUCACCUGCUUAGUGGAAUCCUUACCUUCUUGUCACGUGAACUCCGCGGCCCUCCAUUGCUUCCACAGUCUUCUGCGACACUAGACUUGGAGGCAAGGAAAACGGGGGCGGAGAGAGAAUCCAAAAUAUUUUUACUAGGUGUUAGUUUUCACACGUAAUUUCACAUAAAAGUGUCAUAAUAAUCAUCACUUUUCUCAGGCCACUUGUCAAAAUGUUCAGGCGCUUGUGUUUUUAUUUAUAGAAUUGAUUGUUAUUUUCUUCGGAGGGAGAUAAUCUCUCUGGUUGGAA